AAUGUAAUAUGUUUAGUGACGAUAAGCAUAGUCUGCUCUUAACUAAAGUCUGAUGGUUUUAGGCAUCAAAAGAAACCAAGAAGGUUAACAUUUAUGGAUAUAUUAAAACUCUGGACUCCAUAUUUCAAAUCUGUCAGCAACUAAAAAAUCAUUUUAUUAAUUCUUCAUCCACACGAGUUAUAUGGAAUUGCACAAAAUUUACGAAGUGCCUACUAAGGCUCUAGGCAGUGUAGCUAUCAGGCUCUGUUCCUUGACAUUAAGAGUCAGUAUAUUCCAGGUAAUUUUAUAGUCUGUCUAAUCAUAUAAAAGUUGAGUUAUUCCUGAAGCUUAAUUGACUCAUGCAUAAAUCAAAGUAACAUUACUUAGGUGAGAUUAGAUUCUGCAUAGAGUUAAAAGGAUGAACCAG
rnacentral:lncRNA from 1 species